rnacentral:misc_RNA from 1 species
CAUAAAAAUAGAUCCAUCUAAUAGUGUUCUUGAACUGACGACCAUGCAACUUCCAUCUAACCAAGCAUCCUCUGUUCGUUGGGGCCAUUAUUAAGUGCAUUAAAACAAUUACAUUUCUUUAGAAGUAAGAAGACUGAUCAUGAAGAACAUUCAAGUGAGCCAGUAUUCUGGCCGAGAGAGACCUCAUGCUGCUGUUCCCCCUCUGUGUUAAAUCAACUAAAGGCAUCUGAGCAGAGGGCCCAUAAUUCUGUUUGAACUCUGGCAGUCUGAAUAUCCUUUCUAGAGCAUUUAGAGCCUUCUCCUGCAACGUUGGGGAGGAAGAGCUUA